rnacentral:miRNA from 1 species
UGAAACUCUUUAGCUUCUCUAA